rnacentral:lncRNA from 1 species
GGCGGGACUUGCUAUCCCUAAGUAUUUUCUAAACCCCUUUUAUCCUUUUAUAGUGUAAGUGGACAAAAUCCAUUACACGACCCAGGAAUUUCUCCACUCCACCUCUUUUCUUGAAGGGAACAUGGUGUAUUGUUAAUAAGUGCUAUUUCAAUUUGUAGUUAUUUUGUAGAAAGUGAAGUCGAGUUAAUGAUCGGUAUGACUUUUUUUUGUUGUUGAGUCUGUACUUAUAGGACGUAAUGACCCCCAUGAGACAAAGUUGAAAGCAACAGGUUGCCCUAUAAGUUGCCCUUUUUCUCCUCCAUCUGAUUUUUGUGGUAUCCAUGUGAUAAAAAUUUUAAAUUACUUAUACUUUCCCUAGCCUCAUUUUUCAAUCUCUAAAUUAUGAAUCAAGUC